rnacentral:tRNA from 1 species
AGGAAUGUGGCUUAGUGGUAGAGUGCUUGCCUAGCAUGCAUGAAACCUGGGUUCCAUUCCUC